rnacentral:lncRNA from 1 species
GUUAGACCAUCGAUAUUAAGGGUUAGGUAGAUACAUUGCAGAAGUUUCAAAAUAAAGAAAAAAUAUUGAGAGUGAAAACUAAGGAACAAUGUAGUAUAGUGAGUAUAAGAUUCUUGCAAGCUUGUGCUUUAGUGAAAAAAAUCGAUUGGAAGAAAAGCUUUGUAAAGGCUAAAAGGCAAGCAAGAAAAUCCUGAAUAAAUAAAAGCAAAGUGAAAAAAAAAAGAAAAAAGAAGAAG